rnacentral:tmRNA from 1 species
GGGGAUGAUCGGUUUCGACGGGGAAAGACAGGCUGUGAGCUGCAAGCCGGGGAGGCUUCGUCUCCGUAAACCCAGAAGCAAACCAUAAAUGCCAACACUAUGGCAAACAAUUGGGCCCCCGUUGCCGUCGCUGCGUAAGCAGUAGGCAGCUAAGCUCAAUGAACUGACCGGGUAACCGGUCACGCCUCUUCAGCGCCUCGCAUGCGCGUUGGAGUCAGGUGACAUAAAGUAUGCGUGCAGACUGGUCGACGCCGAUAAGCCAGUCCAAGACCAUCGGCUUAGCGUGGACGUGGCGUUGUCGACUACGACCCUCCACGCGAAACCUAAAGCGUCGACUAAGCUUGUAGAAGCUCAUCGUCGAUUUCUUCGGACGCGGGUUCGAUUCCCGCCAUCUCCACUA